rnacentral:rRNA from 1 species
GGGGGGGGGAGCGAGCGUUGUCGGAAUUACUGGGCGUAAAGGGCGCGUAGGGCGGCUGGGGUCAGUCGCGUGUGAAAGGGCCGGGGCUCAACCCCGAGCAUUGCACGUGAUACUGCCCCGGCUCGAGAGAGGUAGGGGCGAGUGGAAUUCCCGGUGUAGCGGUGGAAUGCGUAGAUAUCGGGAAGAACACCUGUGGCGAAGGCGGCUCGCUGGACCUUUUCUGACGCUGAAGCGCGAAAGCGUGGGGAGCAAACAGGAUUAGAUACCCUGGUAGUCCACGCCGUAAACGAUGGGUACUAGGUGUUGGGAGGAUUGACCCUUUCAGUGCCGGCGCUAACGCAUUAAGUACCCCGCCUGGGGAGUACGGUCGCAAGGCUG